rnacentral:rRNA from 1 species
CACGUAGGGUCCGAGCGUUGUCCGGAUUUAUUGGGCGUAAAGAGCUCGUAGGCGGUUCCGUAAGUCAGAUGUGAAAACUCAGGGCUCAACCCGGAGACGCCAUCUGAUACUGCGGUGACUGGAGUCUGGUAGGGGAACACGGAAUUCCUGGUGUAGCGGUGAAAUGCGCAGAUAUCAGGAGGAGCACCGAUGGCGAAGGCAGUGUUCUGGGCCAGUACUGACGCUGAGGAGCGAAAGCGUGGGGAGCAAACAGG